rnacentral:tRNA from 1 species
UGGGUUGUGGCUCAGUGGUGGAGCGCUUGCCUAGCAUGUGAGGCACUGGGUUUCAUUCCCAGCACCACAU